GGUAACGUGGGGCGAGAGGGGGGGGUGAUAGGAUGGUUGCAGGGUGUAAGUGGAGUUACUGGGCGUAAAUGGUGCGUAGGCGGUUCUUUAAGUCUGUCGGGAAGUCCCCGGGCUCAACCUGGGAAUGGCGAUGGAUACUGGCGAGCUAGAGUGUGUCAGAGGAUGGUGGAAUUCCCGGUGUAGCGGUGAAAUGCGUAGAGAUCGGGAGGAACAUCAGUGGCGAAGGCGGCCAUCUGGGACAACACUGACGCUGAAGCACGAAAGCGUGGGGAGCAAACAGGAUUAGAUACCCCAGUAGUC
rnacentral:rRNA from 1 species